rnacentral:rRNA from 1 species
UACGAAGGGGGCUAGCGUUGCUCGGAAUUACUGGGCGUAAAGCGCACGUAGGCGGCUUUCUAAGUCGGGGGUGAAAUCCUGGAGCUCAACUCCAGAACUGCCUUUGAAACUACAUCGCUAGAAUCAUGGAGAGGUUAGUGGAAUUCCGAGUGUAGAGGUGAAAUUCGUAGAUAUUCGGAAGAACACCAGUGGCGAAGGCGACUAACUGGACAUGUAUUGACGCUGAGGUGCGAAAGCGUGGGGAGCAAACAGG